CCCGGCAUGUCAAAGCUGAGAACCUGAGGUCCCAGUCACCCGGCAUGUCAAAGCUGAGAACCUGAGGUCCCAGUCACCCGGCAUGUCAAAGCUGAGAACCUGAGGUCCCAGUCACCCGGCAUGUCAAAGCUGAGAAACUGAGGUCCCAGUCCCCCGGCAUGCCAAAGCUGAGAACCUGAGGUCCCAGUCACCCGGCAUGAGAAACUGAGGUCCCAGUCACCCAGCAUGUCAAAGCUGAGAACCUGAGGUCCCAGUCACCCGGCAUGCCAAAGCUAAGAAUCUGAGGUCCCAGUCACCCAGCAUGAGAAACUGAGGUCCCGGUCACCCGGCAUAUCAAAGCUGAGAAACUGAGGUUCCAGUCACCCGGCAUGACAAAGCUGAGAAACUGAGGUCCCAGUCACCCGGCAUGUCAAAGCUGAGAAACUGAGGUCCCAGUCACCCGGCACGAGAAACUGAGGUCCCGGUCACCCGGCAUGACAAAGCUGAGAAACUGAGGUCCCAGUCAC
ensembl:lncRNA